AAUACACCUCGCUCUGGAGUCUCGGUGCGGCCACGCCGUUAAACCCCCAACUUUUUUCUGGUGACCUCGAAUCAUGCUGUCGCGACGUUA
rnacentral:rRNA from 1 species